rnacentral:rRNA from 1 species
AGUGAACGCUGGCGGUAGGCCUAACACAUGCAAGUCGAACGGCAGCACAGUAAGAGCUCGCUCUUACGGGUGGCGAGUGGCGGACGGGUGAGGAAUACAUAGGAAUCUACUUUUUCGUGGGGGAUAACGUAGGGAAACUUACGCUAAUACCGCAUACGACCUACGGGUGAAAGCAGGGGAUCUUCGGACCUUGCGCGAUUGAAUGAGCCGAUGUCGGAUUAGCUAGUUGGCGGGGUAAAGGCCCACCAAGGCGACGAUCCGUAGCUGAUCUGAGAGGAUGAUCAGCCACACUGGAACUGAGACACGGUCCAGACUCCUACGGGAGGCAGCAGUGGGGAAUAUUGGACAAUGGGCGCAAGCCUGAUCCAGCCAUACCGCGUGGGUGAAGAAGGCCUUCGGGUUGUAAAGCCCUUUUGUUGGGAAAGAAAAGCAGCAGGUUAAUACCCCGCUGUUCUGACGGUACCCAAAGAAUAAGCACCGGCUAACUUCGUG